CAGGACCCUCCAAGGUCAGGCCCAGGCUGACUGGUAGUGAGUAGGGCCUGGCCUCUGCGGCUGGGGAAGCUGAGUCAGGCAGGCAUAGGGGUCCAUCAGGGAUGCCCUCCCUCCUCCAGCCUGAGGUGGGGUCCGGCCAUCACUGCAGCUUUAGGGCAGUGGGGCCACCCACUUACAGAGCUGACCACAGAGGCCCUUCCAACCUGCCCCACAGCUCCAGUUCCACCUCUGCUUUCUACACCUGCCCAUCGCCCCAGGCCUGUCCGCAGAGUCCCUGACCCCCAUGACACUGCCCACUGACCUAGGUGAUCCAGAGUGGAGGAGUCUAGAGUCAUGACUGGGCAGCAGGCGCCUCUCACCUGUUACCCUUUCCCUGGGGCCCUGGUUCCUGGCCCUGUGUGCCUGGUCCCAUGGUUCUGCUCUUGCCCCACCCACAGUGCUAUGCGGCUCCCCGGGAAGCCCUACUUUGCAUCUGCAGGGGUCACCCGGCCUCACUUCCGGAAACUACUUAAAGGGCUCUCUCCGGAGGUCCCCCUGGGCAUAACGGGUGGCAUGACCCACAUCCCCAGUGAGGGCUGUGGCGUCGGGCCAGAGGCAGGGAUCCAGGUUCGAAUCCUGUCCUUCUGUUCAGCCGUGUCUACUCUAGACCUUUGGCCUAAGUUGUCUCUCCCCGGGAAAUGGGAACUCGGGGGCCUACCUGGGAAGAGGCAGGGCCGUUUCGCCCGCGGUGCCCGCCGAUCCUGACCCGCCCCUGACCUGUCCUCGCGAUGGCUGCCCACAUCCUACUGCUGAUGCUCCUCUGCUGACAGGCGGCCCCGGACCCAGGUUCCUCAGCGCCUCGGCCGCAGCUGCUCGCUAGGCACCUGCCUGACGCACCGCUUGCCGCACCGCCUAUCCUGGGCGCGUGCCCUCCCCGCCAAGGAGCCCUCGGGGAAGGCCGCCCGGGAGCCCCAGGACCCCCUUAGCUACGGGCGUCGCCGGCGGCGCGAGGCCCCCACCCUGCCCUGCCUGGGCCUCGGAAUCCCUAGCCAUGUGCCCGGCGCCAACCCGGGCUUCCCCACCCCUUCCUUUGCUCCGUGAAACCGGCUCCCCAUCCUCUCCCCAAUGUCCUGGGCCGGACAGAAUGCUGAGGUCCGGAGCCGAAUAAAACAAGAGUCCCCGUUGUGUCUGUCUGCGCCCGGUGUCCGCCGGCCACCUGGCCCGGUCCCGACCCACUUUUCCCCUUAUCCAUGCUCCUGGCGCUCUCGGAAGUCCCUCCCCCGUCUGACUGGCGUUCCAUCCCCCAGCGCCUCCUCCCGGUCAGCUCGCCCUGCGCCUUUCACGGUGGACACGAGGCGCCUGACCCCAUGCGCUCCUCCCUCCUGGGCCGGAAAGGUCUGGGAGGCCGCCGCAUGCGUGACCUCGCUGUCCCCACGCUGGACUGCGUCCCCAGCCAAGCCUCGGCCCUCGGAAAGAAAGUAGGAUCCCCGCUUGCUCCUACUUGGGGAGCGUGGGGCGUAAGGCCGCGGGGUUCAGUGGAACGAAGGGCGCCGAAUGGGGGUGCAUUGACCGGUGGAAAGGGGGGGGCUCGAAUGGAGGUAGAGGAUUGGAUGCUGUGUGUCAAAGGGGCGGGGACAGAGGCCACGCUGCAAUAAAGCCGAGGACCGGGUUAGGCACAAACACGACAGAAAUCCGGGUGUCUGUCGGAUGGUCCUGUGGUGGGCAGAACUCCGGGGGCCGGUCGGCCAGGUGGUGGAGUCGUCCUACUGGGCUUGGACAUACGCAAGCGAAAGACUUAGGUCCUGGGCUCAAAACCGGGGAGUAGGGGGGUGUGGGGUGUACGUCGCUUCGUUCCCAGCAUCUCAUCUGCACAAGCCUGACCUAGAGCCCCCCCCCCGUGACAUGGCAGAAGCGCACCAGGCCGUGGGCUUCGUGCCCUCGCUGACCCCGGACGGAGCGGACCCAGAGCUCGCCGGCCAGGUGCUGCGGAACAUCUACCUCUCGGGGCUUUGGUCCUGGAAAAGGCACCUUUCGCGUUUCCGGAAUGACUUCCUCAGUGGCGUGCUCCCCGCCAGCCCCUUCAGCUGGCUCUUCCUCUUCAGUGCCAUCCAGCUUGCCUGGUUCCUCCAGCUGGACCCUUCCCUGGGGCUGAUGGAGAAGAUUAAAGAGCUGCUGCCGGACUGGGCGGGACAGCACCACAGGCUCCGGGGAGUCCUGGCGGCUGCGCUGUUUGCCUCGUGUUUGUGGGGAGCCCUGAUCUUCACGCUUCACGUGGCCCUGAGGCUGCUUCUGUCCUACCAUGGCUGGCUGCUCGAGCCCCACGGGGCCAUGUCCUCGGCCACCAAGACCUGGCUGGCCCUGGUUCGCAUCUUCUCCGGCCGCCGCCCGAUGCUCUUCAGCUACCAGCGCUCCCUGCCGCGCCAGCCAGUGCCCUCGGUGCAGGACACCGUGCGAAAGUACCUGGAGUCCAUCCGGCCUGUCCUCUCGGACGAGGACUUCAACUGGAGGGCGGUGCUGGCCCAGGAGUUCCUGAAGCAGCAGGCGUCGCUGCUGCAGUGGUACCUGCGGCUCAAGUCCUGGUGGGCAGCCAACUAUGUCAGCGACUGGUGGGAAGAGUUCGUGUACCUGCGCUCACGCAGCCCGCUGAUGGUGAACAGCAACUAUUACCUGACGGAUUUCCUGUAUGUCACACCCACGCCGCUGCAGGCAGCUCGCGCGGGGAACGCUGUCCAUGCCCUGCUCCUGUACCGCCACCGGCUGCAGCGCCAGGAGAUCUCCCCGACUCUGCUGAUGGGAAUGCGCCCCUUGUGCUCUGCCCAGUACGAGAGAAUAUUCAACACCACGCGGGUCCCGGGGGUGCAGAAAGACCACCUUCGCCACCUCCGCGACAGUCAGCACGUGGCUGUCCUCCACCGGGGCCGCUUCUUCCGCGUGGGGACCCACUCCCCGCACGGCCUGCUGCCCCCAAGGGCCCUGGAGCAGCAGUUUCAGCGCAUCCUAGACGACCCUUCGCCUGCCUGUCCCCACGAGGAGCACCUGGCGGCCCUGACGGCCGCUCCCAGGGGCUUGUGGGCCCAGCUUCGCCAGACCCUCAAGACCCGCGCCGCCCACGCCCUGGAGGCCGUGGAGGGGGCCGCGUUCUUCGUGUCGCUGGACCCCGAGCCCGCGGGGCUCACCCGGGAGGACCCCGCGGGCUCGCUGGAUGCCUAUGCCCACGCCCUGCUGGCCGGCCGCGGCCAUGACCGCUGGUUUGACAAAUCCUUCACCCUGAUCAUCUUCUCCAAUGGGAAGCUGGGCCUCAGCGUGGAGCACUCGUGGGCCGACUGCCCCAUCUCAGGACACAUGUGGGAGUUCACCCUGGCCACAGAGUGCUUCCAGCUGGGCUACUCGGCAGACGGCCACUGCAAGGGGUGCCCCGCCCCAGCGCUGCCCCCGCCCCAGCGGCUUCAGUGGGACCUUCCAGACCAGGUCCAUCUGUCCAUCUCUCUAGCGCUGCGGGGAGCCAAGGCUUUGUCUGGCAACAUCGACUGCCACAUCUUUCCCUUCUCCCACUUCGGCAAGAGCUUCAUCAGACACUGCCACCUCUCCUCAGACAGCUUCGUCCAGAUGGCCCUGCAGCUGGCCCACUUCCGGGACAGGGGUCAAUUCUGCCUCACUUACGAGUCGGCCAUGACUCGCUUGUUCCUGGAGGGCCGGACGGAGACAGUGCGAUCUUGCACGAGGGAGGCCUGCAGCUUUGUGAGAGCCAUGGAGGACAAAGAGAAGACAGUGGGUGUGGCCUGCACUGAGGCCUCUGUCCCUGGGGCUCACCAGUAUAUUUGCAAACACUUACACGGCCAGGUCUGAGGGGAACCAGGGACAAGGGACAAACAGACUGGUCUCUGGCUUCCAGGAGCCCAUGGAGGAGGAGGCUGAGACAGCCCAGCAUAGUGCACUCUGUGCUUUCCUGGGGUCUCACAGGCACUAGGGAGCACUCAGAGGGAGCCUUGUUUCCAUAAUGCAGCUCAUGGCUUAUGUAGCCUCUGUACCACCUUGUGACCUCUGUUUGCCCCUUUGGCCACUUCCCUGGAACCUCUGCUCAGGGGACCAGGCCCGAAGCCCCUCUGUCCCCUUCCCCCUCCCCAUGAGAUCCUGUGCCUCAGUAGAAGUUUGGGCUCCGGAGUCUCGGACAGACCUGGGACCCACCUGGUUCUGCAUUGCUCUGUGGCCUGGGGAAAGUGCCUCCCCUCUCUGAGUCUCUCCCCUGGGUGAAGUGGGGGGCAACCCCUGCCUUGAGCCAGGUGUGCCACAGGGUGGCCGGCAGUAAGCCCGAGUCCUGUCUUUCCAUGACCUGUGACCUCGGCGGCCCAGGACCCGCAGUGCCUCGUCCUGUUCCGCGCCGCAGUGGACAAGCACCAGGCGCUGCUCAAGGCGGCCAUGAGCGGGCAGGGGGUCGACCGCCACCUCUUUGCGCUCUACGUCGUGUCGCGAUUCCUUCAUAUGCAGUCGCCCUUCCUGGCCCAGGUUUACUCGGAGCAGUGGCAACU